rnacentral:rRNA from 1 species
CUAGGGCUUGCGGCAAUGGAACGAGCGCGAAGGCGUCAAGCAUCAAGAAUCACAUGGCUUAAGACUGGGGACGCAAGAACAAAAAAAAUUCAUGCAAAGAUGUGCUCGCUGCGAUGGAAGAAUUUCAUUCACUCUCUGUGUACUGGCACUGCCAUCGCCACCACGCAUUCAGAGAAGGAGUAGGUGGUUACAGGUCAUUUCUGCAGUGUGCUUGGCGUCGAGGUGGCAUGAUCAAUGGCAGUCGACUGGCAACAGCUCAACCUCCCACCCGUGCAUAACAGAGGCCUAGACAACCCCUUCACAAGUGACGAAGUGUGGGCUACGAUCAAGGAUUCAUCAAUUGACAAAGAUCUGGGCCCGGACGGCGUCAUUUGUGUUUUCUUUAGAUCCAGCUGA